rnacentral:rRNA from 1 species
UGAGGAAGUAAAAGUCGUAACAAGGUUUCCGUAGGUGAACCUGCGGAAGGAUCAUUAUCGUAUCUCCGAGGAGGGGUCCGGUCGCGCCCUGCUCCGGUCCGAACGGCCGUGCAGCGGGUUCCGGUCCCGACUCGCCAAACCAAAAACCCUGUGCUCCUUCACGGCCAGAGGGCCACGCUGCCGGCGAAAGCCGCUCGUGCCCGAAGCCGCAUCACAACAAACCCCAGUUCAAAAGAAUGUUCAGUGGACUACGUGCCACCUACAAUUGAAACAACUUUCAACAACGGAUCUCUUGGCUCUCGCAUCGAUGAAGAACGCAGCGAAAUGCGAUAAGUAAUGUGAAUUGCAGAAUUCAGUGAAUCAUCGAAUCUUUGAACGCACCUUGCGCUCCUUGGUAUUCCGAGGAGCAUGCCUGUUUGAGUGUCUUGAAGUCAUCAACCCCUCCCGUUUUUGCGUGGGGGGUUGGAGUUGGGGGCCUGCUGCCGUGAGGUGGCUCCCCUCAAAUGCAUCGGUUGGACCUGUGGGUCGAACUCGACUGGGCGUUGUACCAUCCUCGCUCGACCGAGAAGUUCCCCUCUUGAUGUCCUCCCACGACCUUGCCUGUGGAGUGGCGGUCAAUGUACUUUGAAAUCUGACCUCAAAUCAGGUAGGACUACCCGCUGAACUUAAGCAUAUCA